UGAGUAUACUAAGGGGCGGUAUUUGCAGGGUGAUUGAGCGCGCCAUUGAUAAAUUGGCGCGUCGGCACGGAGCCCACAUCAACGAGUACGAUGCGAACAACGGCGGCGACAACGCGAGACGUCUCACCGGCAAGAAUGGGCAACCGCAUAUCAAAGAUUUUACUGCAGGUGUGGCUAACAGGACUUGCGCUGUAAGAAUACCUCGACAAGUGUCCGAAGACAAGAAAGGAUACUUGGAGGACCGUCGCCCCGCGGCUAAUGCCGACCCCUACCGCAUCAUUUCAAUAAUGCUUAGAACAUGCAUAUUCGAUGAGUAAGCUGCAGUUGGCAACGACACUUACUCGGUAUGUGUUGAGUUGGUUUCCUGUUUGGCGCAAUUACAGUUACAGCGUACAUAAAUAUGUACAACUGAUUGAUUAAACGCUUGAAUGUCUUUGUAAACUUUGUGUUUGAAUAAAAUUACGCCUUUA